rnacentral:sRNA from 1 species
CACUGAGGACACUGGGGAGCUGGGCCAGGGCCUCAUCUGUGUUCCUGAUUUGCCAAAGAUUAUGGGAGGGUUGUAACCUCACCCCAAAGAAGUUCUCUGCCUUGUAUCCAGGGAUGGAUAGUUCUUGCUCCAGGAAACUCAAUCCUGAGGGUCCUGAAUGAGUGCUCUAGCUGGCCCAGGUGGAGGGCCUUGGCAAUGGGCAGGUGACUGACAGCUGACUUGAGGAAGGGUAUUAUUCUUGUCCUCCAAACCUCCAAUCCAUCCAGAUUAGAGUCAAGAGGAUAGGACCUGAGUCCCAGCAUUGCCGUGAACUCACUGGUGAUCUUGCGCAAGUCCCUCCCUUUCUCGGGCCUCAGUAGUUCCAGCGGCACAGCGGGUGAGCCGGGGGAGUGGUGUGGAUGAGACAGGGCUCCUCGCCAGGAUACUCCCAUGUCUGCUCUUUCUCUUUGGCCCAGAACUGAAUGCACUACAGGAAGAGCUUGCACCAUUCGGUCUGGUCAUUCUGGGCUUUCCCUGCAACCAAUUUGGAAAACAGGAACCAGGAGAGAACUCAGAGAUCCUUCCUACCCUCAAGUAUGUCCGACCAGGUGGAGGCUUUGUCCCUAAUUUCCAGCUCUUUGAGAAAGGGGAUG